rnacentral:rRNA from 1 species
AAUGAACGUUGGCGGCGUGGAUUAGGCAUGCAAGUCGAGCGUACCCAGCAAUGGGGAAGCGGCAAACGGGGUAGUAAGGCGUCGGUACGUGCCCUCGGGAUGAGGAUAGCCACGGGAAACUGUGGGUAAUACUCGAUGAUCUCGUGAGAGCAAAGGUGUGAUUCCGCCAGGGGGAGCGGCCGACGUGGUAUUAGGUAGUUGGUGGGGUAAUGGCCCACCAAGCCUGGGAUGCCUAGGGGGUGUGAGAGCAUGGCCCCCACCAUUGGGACUGAGAUACUGCCCAGGCACCUACGGGUGGCUGCAGUCGAGAAUCUUCGGCAAUGGGCGCAAGCCUGACCGAGCGACGCCGCGUGCGGGAUGAAGGCCUCGGUUGUAACCGACUGUCAGAGGGGAGUGAAGUACACAGUAGGGUUCGUCCCACUUGUGUUGACAGAG